AGGCAACCUCCGCUACUGAAAGAUGAAGCCAAUGCGGAAGUGCCAAAAGCUGCAGUUCGUCCAGUGGCCACUUGAGGCUGGCUCCAAAAGGAAGUUCAUCCCAUUAA